rnacentral:rRNA from 1 species
CAGCAGCCGCGGGAAUACGUAGGGUGCAAGCGUUAAUCGGAAUUACUGGGCGUAAAGCGUGCGCAGGCGGUUUGUUAAGACAGAUGUGAAAUCCCCGGGCUCAACCUGGGAACUGCAUUUGUGACUGGCAAGCUAGAGUCUGGCAGAGGGGGGUGGAAUUCCGCGUGUAGCAGUGAAAUGCGUAGAUAUGCGGAGGAACACCGAUGGCGAAGGCAGCCCCCUGGGCCAACACUGACGCUCAUGCACAAAAGCGUGGGGAGCAAACAGGAUUAGAUACCCGCGUAGUCCCUGUCUCUUAUAC